rnacentral:tRNA from 2 species
GCAGAUGUAAUCUAGCUGGUUAGGAUUAAAGCCUUCCAAGCUUUCAGCCCGGGUUCGAAUCCCGGCAUCUGCA